rnacentral:rRNA from 1 species
CGUACUCCCCAGGCGGGGUACUUAUUGCGUUAACUCCGGCACAGAAGGGGUCGAUACCUCCUACACCUAGUACCCAUCGUUUACGGCCAGGAUUACCGGGGUAUCUAAUCCCGUUCACUCCCCUGGCUUUCGCGCCUCAGCGUCAGACACAGUCCAGAAAGUCGCCUUCGCCACUGGUGUUCCUCCUAAUAUCUACGCAUUUCACCGCUACACUAGGAAUUCCACUUUCCUCUCCUGCACUCAAGAAAUGUAGUUUCCAUCCCAUCACGGGGUUGAGCCCCGAACUUUUAAGACAGACUUACAUUCCCGCCUGCGCGCGCUUUACGCCCAAUAAUUCCGGACAACGCUUGCCACCUACGUAUUACCGCGGCUGCUGGCACGUAGUUAGCCGUGGCUUCCUCCUCAGGUACCGUCAUUACUUAACAUUAUUCACAUUAAGCACAUUCGUCCCUGAAGACAGAGCUUUACGAUCCGAAAACCUUCUUCACUCACGCGGCGUUGCUCCGUCAGACUUUCGU